rnacentral:rRNA from 1 species
GACGAACGCUGGCGGCGUGCUUAACACAUGCAAGUCGAACGGAAAGGCCCUGCUUUUGUGGGGUGCUCGAGUGGCGAACGGGUGAGUAACACGUGAGUAACCUGCCCUUGACUUUGGGAUAACUUCAGGAAACUGGGGCUUAUACCGGAUAGGAGCUCCUUCUGCAUGGUGGGGGUUGGAAAGUUUCGGCGGUUGGGGAUGGACUCGCGGCUUAUCAGCUUGUUGGUGGGGUAGUGGCUUACCAAGGCUUUGACGGGUAGCCGGCCUGAGGGGGUGACCGGCCACAUUGGGACGGAGAUCCGGCCCAGAUCCCUACGGGAGGCAGCAGUGGGGAAUAUUGCACAAUGGGCGGAAGCCGGAUGCAGCAACGCCGCGUGCGGGAUGACGGCCUUCGGGUUGUAAACCGCUUUCGCCUGUGACGAAGCGUGAGUGACGGUAAUGGGUAAAGAAGCACCGGCUAACUACGUG